AUUUGUCUGUGCGUUUGUUCUAUUGUGCUUCUACACCAAGCUCACAAGUUCAUCUUGUUGUGUUCUUCUAUGUGAUAUAAUUUUCCUGUAUGUUGAGCCCUUUUACUAUAUGUGUUUCCUACCAAGCUCUUAAGUUCUUUAUUUGCCUUCUUCUGGACUUCGUUUGAGUUCUCUUAAACAUGUUUUUCUACUAUUCUCUUAAGUGCCAUACUAUCUCCGCUCUCGUCUGAACUUGUUUAAGUCCCACGCUUUUUUUUCUUUCUUCUUAAACAUGUCUUUUCUACUCUCACUAUGUUUCAAAUCAAUAUGUUGCUUCGAAC
rnacentral:lncRNA from 1 species